UGAGGAAUAUUGCACAAUGGGCGAAAGCCUGAUGCAGCGACGCCGCGUGGAGGAUGACGGUCUUCGGAUUGUAAACUCCUGUUAAGUGGGACAAAAUCCUCACCUCUAAUACAGGUGAGGGAUGAUGGUACCAUUAGAGAAAGCACCGGCUAACUUCGUGCCAGCAGCCGCGGUAAUACGAGGGGUGCAAGCGUUAUUCGGAUUUAUUGGGCGUAAAGGGUGCGUAGGUGGUAUGUUAAGUCUGUUGUUAAAUUUUCCGGCCUAACCGGAAGCCUGCAAUGGAAACUGGCGUACUUGAGGGUGGAAGAGGGAAGUGGAAUUCUCGGAGUAGCGGUAAAAUGCGUGGAUCUCGAGAGGAACACCGAUGGCGAAGGCAGCUUCCUGGUCCAUAUCUGACACUGAGGCACGAAAGCGUGGGGGAGCAAACAGGAUUAGAUACCCUGGUAGUCCACGCUGUAAACGAUGAUCACUGGACGUUGGUCUGGCUCUGCCGG
rnacentral:rRNA from 1 species